GGGGAUGAAAGGUCUCGACGGAAGAGGCUGGCCCCGGAUUGCGAGCCGAGAGGCGCCGACCUCGUUAACUCAGCGCGAAAAACAAGUGCCAACCGCACAAACUACGCUGCCCUGCCCCUCGCCGCAUAAGCGAGUGACAUAAGCAGCUGGCUUCCACAAGAGAGGCCACGUCCGCCCACCCCGCUCUCUGUCCGGUGGUGGAACCGGGCGUGACAAAGACAGAGUGCCGCACGCCCACACCGCUAAGCGUGCGAAAGAGGGGCUUUCGGGCUCCGGCGGUUAGCCCGGGGAUCGCCUUUGUCGGUUGGGAUGCCUCGGGCAAAGGCUCCAACCGACUACGCUCGUAGAUAUUCGAGGGACGAAUCUUUCGGACUCGGGUUCGAUUCCCGACAUCUCCACUC
rnacentral:tmRNA from 1 species